CUCUCUCUCUCUCUCUGUCUCUCGCGUUUCGAAUUUGGAAUUUCUCGGACCAUGAAAUAAGUCCUCUGUUUGGUAAAUGGAUAUACAAAUACGUAAUUUACUAUAUAAAUUUCUUUCUUUUUUCUCGGGAACCAAACGUGGUAGUUGUAUGUAACUGUUUUUAGUGAAGAUGCAAACGAAGUUCAUGGAAAGAUCGACGGGUAUGGCUAGAGAAAAGAGAGGUUUGGAUUCGAGUUCUGGCGACGAAGGCCAGCCUGAUAUAAAACGACCUGCUUUAGCUAGGUAUAUAUUUUUUUUUCUCUUUUGUUUAUAUGAUAAUUUACUAUAUUGUGACUGUUAAUUCAGUUACUUAUUUUUAAUUGAAGACGUCGUCUUCGUUGAACCUUUAACUUUGGUCACUGCUGAUUUCCGCUUCUAGGAAUCUACCCGAAUUUGAGAUACAUAUGUAUAUAAUAAUAAACAUACAUUGCAUAGACAUGUAAAUUAUUUAUUAAAUUUAUCUGCUUUACCUGAUCAAGCUUUAUGUUUUCAGUAAGCUUUCGGAUGGAAAAUCCUCGAAGUGCAAUUUUCUGGUUGGAUUAGAUGUUAACCAUGCUGAUUCUAUAAGACAAUGAGCUGGGACGUGAGUGUUGGUACCAGAAAGCAUUAUAUUGCUUGUAUAUGCGUCUGGAAAAAUACUUAAUUUUGGCUGUGUCAAUUUAUUAUAUAUUUUUUGUUAAUCUUGUCUGGCAGCAUCUCUUCUUUGAGUGUUGUGAAGAUACUAAAUUGAACCCAUUCUUGUUCUCGUUAUGUUCACUUUCAUGAUGUUGUGAUAUCAAAAACGAGCAUUUAUCUGCAAUUAUAUAGCAUGCCUGAUUCUUCUUGUAUUCUACUGUUCAAAGUCCAAUUUGUUAAACGGCCCUUGCUAAACUUCCUCGGUCGAAACUCUCUUUAUAACUAUAAUAAUCCCUUCCUAGUUGCUUGAGAAUUUAUUGAGUGCAGUUUUGACUGUGAAUAGCUGUGUUCUUAUGAUUAGCAUUGUAUUUGAAACUUGUUGAAAAUCCUGUGUAUUUUUCAAUUUUGUUGCAGUGUAAUUGUUGAAGCUCUCAAGGUGGAUAGUCUGCAGAAACUUUGCUCAUCUUUGGAGCCUAUCCUUCGGAGAGUUGUAAGAUAGAUUGCAUCCUUGUGUAUUUUGGUAUUCCUCUUUGAAGGAUUCAUGAUGACUGUCUUUUCAUUAUUGUUUUAUCUAAUUAUAAUAUCUGCAAAAGACUAAUCACAAUUACUUUCCAAUCUAUCAAUUGUUCUUUAAAUUUUCUCUCUGAAAUUAUUUUUUCUAUUUUGGAAAGGCGACGUUAUAAACAAUAGUUAACAGAUUUUGAUUAGGACAUGCUGUGAUUCUCUUGUAAUGCAUGUAAAUAAGAAUCUCCUCUAAUGAUUUAUGUAUUUCUUGCAUGAUUACGCUGUGGACAUACUCAAACACUGAGCAGGUUAGUGAGGAAGUGGAGCGUGCUUUAGCAAAAUUAGGCCCUACCAAACUUACCGGAAGGUACACAGCAUCUUUUCUCCGCUCGUUAAUAUGAUUCUGAAAUGGCAUUUUGUGCCUUCAAUAUACUUUAUACACUGGUGAACCAGCAUAAUUUUGUUUUUCUUCAACUAUCUAAUGUAAUUUGCAUUUUUUUUCAUGUUCAAUUAUCAGAUAUCUGGAACAUCUUAAGUUUUUCCUGCAACAGAAUCUGAUUUGGUAUUGAUCUUUAAGUCAGCAUUAUGGAUGUCUUGACAUCAUGCCCCCCAAUAUUAUUGCACACUGAGCACAAACAUAUUUUUCUGCAUUUCACUGUAGUUGAAUUUUACUAUUUGACAUUUUUUCUUUUGAAUUUGGUAUGCUUCCGGUUGCAUAUUUGGCACAUUUCAUCUGGUGACCAGUAUGUAUUUAGGACUGGACAAUCCUAUCUCAGCAUUUUUUGUUAGAUGUGUUAAAAUGACGUCUGGGCACCAACAUUAUUUUGACUUACUAGGAGUUGAGUUUGUGUUUUGCAUAGCUGCACUGCAUUAAUCAGUUUAACUCUGUUGGUCUCCGCCUCAUUUUCAGUUAUAUCAUGAAAUUGCCUACAGGGUAGAUCCACUUUACUUUGUUCAAUGAUGGCAUAUGGUUCUCUUAGCCAGUCUAAAAUCUUUGUUCAUGCAGUCCCUUUUCUGUUAAUUUGAGGGGAUUAUAGAGGGUUACUCCUGGUUGCUUAACUGUGUAAAUUAGAGGGUAUGAAUUUUGUUGAUUUGAAUUUAUUCUAUGCCUCUGCACCACAAUUUUGUGUUUCUAAUGGUUGAGAAAAUGCAGGUCUUCUCCUAAAUGUAUAGGAGGGCCUGACGGAAAAAACUUGCAGCUGCACUUCAGGUCCAGGUUGUCCCUCCCUCUCUUUACUGGUGGGAAAGUAGAAGGGGAACAGGGUGCUGCAAUCCUCAUUGUGUUGAUUGAUGCAAACACAGGCCAUGUUGUCACAUCAGGUCCUGAAUCUGCAGUGAAACUGGAUGUCAUUGUUCUUGAAGGUGAUUUUAAUAAUGAAGAUGAUGAUAACUGGACUCAAGAAGAAUUUGAGUCUCAUGUAGUUAAGGAGCGUGAGGGCAAGAGGCCACUUCUAACUGGGGAUCUGCAAGUGACAUUAAAAGACGGUGUAGGAACUCUAGGUGAGCUGACGUUUACUGACAACUCAAGUUGGAUAAGAAGCAGGAAGUUUAGGCUGGGUUUGAAGGUUGCCUCAGGAUGUUGUGAAGGGAUUCGUAUUCGUGAAGCAAAAACUGAUGCCUUCACUGUCAAAGAUCAUCGAGGAGAAUUAUACAAGAAACACUAUCCGCCUGCACUAACUGAUGAGGUUUGGAGAUUGGAGAAGAUUGGCAAGGAUGGAUCUUUCCACAAGAGGCUGAACAAGUCUGGGAUAUUUACUGUUGAAGACUUCUUAAGACUUGUGGUUAGAGACUCUCAGAGAUUGCGGAAUAUUCUUGGAAGUGGCAUGUCGAAUAAGAUGUGGGAUGUUCUGGUAGAGCAUGCAAAGACAUGUGUUCUGAGUGGGAAACUUUAUGUGUACUAUCCUGAUGAUGCAAAGAAUGUUGGUGUUGUUUUCAACAAUAUAUAUGAGUUAAGUGGCUUAAUUGCAAAUGGAGAGUACCUCUCAGCAGACUCUCUUUCUGAUGACCAGAAGGUUUAUGUGGAUGAAUUGGUGAAGAAGGCAUAUGAAAAUUGGAUGCAUGUUAUAGAGUAUGAUGGCAAAACACUUCUAGACUUCAAGCAGAAUCAGAACAUUGCUUCUUCCCAAUCUGACCUGCCUGCUGGUCAACAAGAUUUUUUGAGCUCUUAUGAGCAUCAGGUUACGUUGCCUACUCUAUCAGUUCCAGUGCCUACAGAGCAGCCUUCUAUGGACUCAGGUCCAUCUGUUGGAGGUACACAUUUUAUGUUGAAAAUCAUUAUAGCAUGUAUUGGACACUAGACACAUACUUGAUGGGAUUGAAAGAUGGGAUUCUUUUAGUAGUAGAGAUUUUAUUUCAAUUAUCAGUAUAAAUCUCGGGAGUUCUUUCACAAAUUCUUUGGUGCCUAUUUUAUAGCUUUUCAUAAAUCAUUGUUGGCAUGAAGCUUUUCCAUAUGUUUCAUUGAUCUCUGUGUGAAUGUUUUUGCUCUUUAGGUUACAAUGAUAGUAUGGCUGCAAGAUUCUCAUUGCAAUCACAUAAUGGAAAUCCAAACACGCCUUUUCAAUUUGAUGCCACUUCAUUACCUCUACAAAAUCCUCUUGUCAGUACAUCACAGCAUGCCCAAUUUCAAAGAAGUGACAAUUUGCUGGCGCUUGCUCCACCACAUUCAUCAACAUCAAGCUUCCAAGGUGUCUGUACACCAAACCUUACUUCUUACAGGGGAGCUGAGGAUUUCUUCCAAGAGGAGGAGAUUCGAAUGAGAAGUCAUGAGAUGCUUGAAAAUGAAGAUAUGCAGCAACUUCUCCAUAUCUUCAACAUGGGAAGCCAGGGCCUUUCUUCCUUCAAUGUAAAUGAAGAUGGGUACCCUUACUCAUCAGCAUACAUGCCAGCCCCAUCUCCAAACUACAGCUUCGCCGACGAUCACUCUCGUUCAUCUGGCAAAGCUGUCAUUGGAUGGCUGAAGCUCAAGGCAGCCCUUAGAUGGGGCAUCUUUAUUAGGAAAAAGGCUGCUGAGAGGAGGGCACAGCUCAUAGAGUUAGAUGAUCCUUAAAUGUGGCCUGUGAAGCAAUAAUUGACAUGCUUAGGUGUUUGCAGGCUUCCUCCUUUUCCAGCCAAAUUUCGCAUCCAACUCAAUUAGAGUCAUGGUUUGGGACUUGCCUAGCUGGCUAGAGUUUAUUGAAGGUCCUGCUGUUCUUGGAUUAUAAUCCUUGAAUUUGGGGACACCUCUUUUUGUACAGUUGAUCACUGUACAGUAAGCUUUCUUAGUUGCCUUGGCUACAACAUUCCUCAUUGUGAACUUGGAAGAUCAACUGGGUUCAAAUGGUGGGUAUUUUGUAGAGACUUCUAAUAUUCAGUGGUUCUGACGCUGAAAAACUUAGCAGUGUGUUUAAAUUAGGAAGUGGAUAGGAUAGAAAAUCUAAGGCUAAUUUUAUCCAGAUAUAAUUAGCUAGUGUUUUUUCUUUUUCAUCUUUGAUUGCUAUUUUUCUCGUGUAUCGAGUCCCAACAUAAAUGAACACCUUGUAUUUAUGUCUCCUUUGUAAAAUUAAAAUAAUUGUUGGAUUUGGGAAUGUAUUGCCCAGUUGAACGGUUCUAUUAGUUGAUGAUUUAUGCAUUUGACUGGAAAAAUUGUCAUCUUCUGCACAGAGAGUUAA
rnacentral:misc_RNA from 1 species